UACAGAGGGUGCGAGCGUUGUCCGGAAUCACUGGGCGUAAAGAGUGCGUAGGCGGCUUGACAAGUUGCAUCUAAAAGGCGACAGCUCAACUGACGAGUGCGGUGCAAGACUGUAAAGCUUGAGGCAAGCAAAAGAAUGUGGAACUCCGAGUGUAGCGGUGGAAUGCGUAGAGAUUCGGAAGAACACCCAUGGCGAAGGCAGCAUUCUGGGCUUGACCUGACGCUGAGGCACGAAAGCCAGGGGAGCGAACGGG
rnacentral:rRNA from 1 species